rnacentral:rRNA from 1 species
CAAUAGCGUAUAUUAAAGUUGUUGCGGUUAAAACGCUCGUAGUUUGAAAUCUGUUAAGGACGAUCUGUCUGCCCUCUGGGUGUGUAUUUGGUCUAGCCUUGGCAUUUCCUUGAACAAGACAACUGCACUUGAUUGUGUGGUGUUGAUUUCAAGGUGUUUACUUUGAGGAAAUCAGAGUGCUUCCAGCAGGUGUGCGCCUUGAAUACAUUAGCAUGGAAUAUCAUUAUAUGGUUUGGAUUUUUACUUGUUGGUUUUUAAAAUUGAAGCAAUGAUAAAUAGGGAUAAUUGGGGGCACUUGUAUUUAAUUGUCAGAGGUGAAAUUCUUGGAUUUGUGAAAGACAAACUACUGCGAAAGCAUUUGCCAAAAAUGUUUUCAUUG